UUAAGUGAACAAGGGCAUACGGCGGAUGCCUUGGCGCCAAGAGCCGAUGAAGGACGCGGUAAGCUGCGAAAAGGCAUGGGUAGGAGCAAGCAUCCAGUGAUCCAUGCAUAUCCGAAUGGGGCAACCCACCAUCAGUCAUGUGAUGGUACGAAAGAGGCAGACCUGGGGAACUGAAACAUCUAAGUACCCAGAGGAAAAGUAAUCAAUUGAGAUUCCCUAAGUAGCGGCGAGCGAAAGGGGAAGAGCCCAAACCAUGAAACUUCGGUUUUGUGGGGUUGAGGACCGGCAAAAAGAGGAAACUUCUUAGUCGAAUGGUUUGGAAAGGCCAUGCACAGAAGGUAAAACACCUGUAGGCGAAAAGAAGUCAAUCGGGCUGGUAUCCAGAGUACUGCGAGACACGUGAAACCUUGCAGGAAGCAGGGGGGACCACCCUCCAAGGCAAAAUACUACUUGGCGACCGAUAGCGCAUAGUACCGUGAGGGAAAGGUGAAAAGAACCCCGGGAGGGGAGUGAAAUAGAACCUGAAACCGUAUGUCUACAAGCAGUCGAAGCACCUUAAGAGUGCGACGGCGUGCCUAUUGAAGAAUGAACCGGCGAGUUACAUUAUGUUGCGAGGUUAAGUGGGAGACACGGAGCCGAAGCGAAAGCGAGUCUUAAUAGGGCGACUAGUAACAUGGUGUAGACCCGAAACCGCAGUGAUCUAUCCAUGGUCAGGUUGAAGCGCAGGUAAAAAUGCGUGGAGGACCGAACCCGUGAGUGUUGAAAAACUUUGGGAUGAACCGUGGAUAGGGGUGAAAUGCCAAUCGAACGCGGAGAUAGCUGGUACUCCCCGAAAUAGCUUUAGGGCUAGCCUCAGGGAAGAUUAUAGACGGUAGAGCACUGAUCUGGCAAGGGGGCGUAAAGCCUACCGACCCUAGUCAAACUUCGAAUGGCUAUAAUUAAGACCCUGGGAGUCAGACUGCGAGUGAUAAGACCCGUAGUCAAGAGGGAAACAGCCCAGACCGCCGACUAAGGUCCCCAAUGCUGUACUAAGUGGAAAAGGAUGUAAGACUUCAUAAACAACCAGGAUGUUGGCUUAGAAGCAGCCACCAUUAAAAGAGUGCGUAAUAGCUCACUGGUCGAGAGGCCUUGCGCCGAAGAUGUCCGGGGCUCAAGUACAGAACCGAAGUCGCGGCAGGAUUAUAUAAUUCUGGGUAGGGGAGCGUUGUAUAUCCGACUGAAGGUGUACCGGAAGGAGCGCUGGAGGAUAUACAAGAGAGAAUGCCGGUAUGAGUAGCGAAAAGAACAGUGAGAAUCUGUUCCACCGAAAGCCUAAGGUUUCCUGAGCAACGCUCGUCGACUCAGGGUAAGUCGGGACCUAAGCCGAGGCAAAAAGCAUAGGCGAUGGACAACAGGUUAAUAUUCCUGUACCGCUUCAAAUCGUUUGAGCAAUGGAGUGACACAGAAGGUAGCUUGAGCACGCGAAUGGAUGUGCGUGUCGAAGGUGGUAGGUUGCAGUAUAGGUAAAUCCGUACUGUAUAAGACCGAGAACUGAUAGAUAGACGAUACUUCGGUAAAGUCAAAUUCAAGUGAGCCAUGCUGUCGAGAAAAGCUUCUAGUGAGAGAUGAGGCGCCCGUACCGAAACCGACACAGGUAGGCGGGGAGAGAAUCCUAAGGUGCGCGGGACAACCCUCGUUAAGGAACUCGGCAAAUUGUAUCCGUAACUUAGGGAUAAGGAUAGCCGGAGGAUGUGAAGGGAUUUACUUCUGGAGCGUCAGCCGGUGGCACAAGAGAGGCCCAAGCGACUGUUUAGCACAAACACAGGUGCCUGCAAAAGAGAAAUCUGACGUAUAGGUGCUGACACCUGCCCGGUGCUGGAAGGUUAAGAGGAGGGCUUAGAGGAAACUCGAAGGCUUGAAUUGAAGCCCCAGUAAACGGCGGCCGUAACUAUAACGGUCCUAAGGUAGCGAAAUUCCUUGUCGGGU
rnacentral:rRNA from 1 species